UUCUAUAAUCCACAAAGGUCACCAUGGACAUCAGAGGUAUUCUUGUGACGCUGUUGGUCGGCUGCCUACUAAUAGUGGAAGCCAUGUCCAUACCACACAUUGUGAAAAGGGUACAGCCACCGAUUGACUUUGAGCUGUACGGACCACCAAGGAAUCCUUAAAGGAACAACUCUUCACUCUGCUGCCAUUCCGAAUAAAACCAGGAGUCAGGGAUACAUAAAUAUAUUACAUUCUAUGCAUAUGAGUAGAUAACAACUGCAAUAGAGGAAUAUUUAUGAAU